GUGGAUGAACUGUGGGUAGGGGUGAAAGGCCAAACAAACCCGGAGAUAGCUGGUUCUCUCCGAAACAUAUUUAGGUAUGGCCUCAGGUUGACAUUAACGGAGGUAGAGCACUGAAUGGGCUAGGGGACUUACAGGUUUACUGAACCCAAUCAAACUCCGAAUGCCGUUAAUCAAUACCUGGGAGACAGGGCGUGAGGGAUAAGCUUCACGUGCGAGAGGGGAACAACCCAGACUGUCAGCUAAGGUCCUCAAAUAGAUGCUUAGUGCGUAAGGAUGUUCAAUUGCCCAGACAGCCAGGAUCUUGGCUUAGAAGCAGCCAUGAUUUAAAGAGUGCGUAACAGCUCACUGGUCGAGUGGUAGAGCACCGAAGAUGAUCGGGACUUCAAGCAUCUUACCGAAGCUGCGGAGCAUCGCGCAAGCGUUGCUGGUAGGAGAGCGUUGUGAUUGCGCCGAAGGUGUCCUGUGAGGGAUGCUGGAGUGAUCGCAAGAGACCAUGUCGGCAUGAGUAACGACAAUGCGGGCGAGAAACCCGCACACCACAAGCCCGAGGUUUCCUGAGUAAAGUUAAUCUGCUCAGGGUUAGUCGGCCCCUAAGGUAUAGCCGUAUGGCGAAGCUGAUGGGAGCCAGGUUAAUAUUCCUGGACCUGUGUGUUGAGCGAUGGAGUGACGCGACGGUGCAGUGGAGACGGCUGUUGGAAUAGCCGUUGAGUGCAUGUAGGAGGUGGCACAGGCAAAUCCGUGCCACACAUACUCCGAGGUGCAGGACGAGGAGCAAUCCGCAAAGUCCAUGUAUAUACGUCGCCGAGAAAUAGCUUCUAAGCAUAUCAGCACACAGACCGUACCGCAAACCGACACAGGUGGGCGAGGAGAGUAUCCUAAGGUGUUCGAGCGAACUCUGGUUAAGGAACUAGGCAAAAUAACCCCGUAACUUCGGGAGAAGGGGUGCCCCGUUAUCGUGAUAGAGCGCAUCUGGAGCGAGAGGGGGCCGCAGCGAAUAGGCCCAAGCGACUGUUUAUCAAAAACACAGGUCUAUGCGAAGGCGCAAGCCACGGUAUAUAGUCUGACACCUGCCCGGUGCCGGAAGGUUAAAUGGAGAGGUCAUCCCUUUCGGGGGAGAAGCUUCGAAAUGAAGCCCCGGUAAACGGCGGCCGUAACUAUAACGGUCCUAAGGUAGCGAAAUUCCUUGUCGGGUAAGUUCCGACCUGCACGAAUGGUGUAACGAUUUGGGCGCUGUCUCAACCAGGGGCUCGGUGAAAUUGAAGUAGCGGUGAAGAUGCCGCUUACCCGCGAACGGACGGAAAGACCCCGUGAACCUUUACUGCAGCUUGGCAUUGUAAAUUGGUGCAGUAUGUGUAGGAUAGGUGGGAGGCUAUGAAGCGUGUACGCCAGUAUGCGUGGAGCCAUCGUUGAAAUACCACCCUUAUUGUAUUGGUUUACUAACGAUGCUAAAG
rnacentral:rRNA from 1 species